UUCUAAACAUCUAAGUUAGCAACAUUCUAGGAGAUGCAGACAUAUUCCAUUUCCCAUCAGUAAGAGUAACCAUUUUGUCGAAUUCUUAGCAGAUUUGAGGCCUGACAUUUUGAAGUUUUAUUUACUUUUACAAGUUCUACACUUUGUCUACCAAAAUCUAGAUUCUAUACUUGAUUCUGGCGUGUCUUGAGAAAUACUCUGUUCCUGUUUCUACCAGGCUGUGUUAAGUCCAGAACCAAGAUGACAGAGUAGAAGCAGGGAUGCUGAAAACCACCAUGAGAAUACUCUCCAGCCAAUCUUAAAAUAAUUCCACAAAGUGAAUAUAGGAGUUAAAGAACCAACAAGGAAUGGAGUGAAGCAACUUUCAAGAAGAAAAGAAAUAUUCUUAGGAUUUCAGACCUAGGGUCAGAUCCCUUCAAGUAUACAAUAGUGUAAACUACUCUGCAUAUACUUAU
rnacentral:lncRNA from 1 species